GUGCACCAGGCGCGAAUCUUCCCCAAUGGGACGAAAGUCUGAGGGAGCGACGCCGCGUGAAUGAAGAAGCCCUUCGGGGGUGUAAAAUUCUUUUCUUUAGGAAAAAUUCGUGAUGGUACUAAAGGAUAAGGGGCCGCCAAACUCGUGCCUAGCAGCGGCGGUAAUACGAGUGCCCCGAGCGUUAUCCGGAAUUACUGGGCGUAAAGCGCUAAAAGGCGGUUUGAUAAGUCAGACGUCAAAUCUCCGAGCU
rnacentral:rRNA from 1 species